AUUACUCCUACGGGAGGCAGCAGCAAGGAAUUUUCGUCAAUGGGCGCAAGCCUGAACGAGCAACGCCGCGUGGAGGAUGACGGCCUUCGGGUUGUAAACUCCUUUUCCGGGGGAUGAUUGUGACCGUACCCUGGGAAUAAGGCUCGGCUAACUCUGUGCCAGCAGCCGCGGUAAUAAU
rnacentral:rRNA from 1 species